UUCCAUUGGCUCCUAUUGCAAACAAGUCUAUACAUUAGACUAGCCCAAGUGUUGUAAGUGCUGGGUGUCCUAGAUACAGAAAUAUACCAAGUGCAAGUGGGUGCUCGUGUUGUGCAUAGUAGUAGAUCUGUUUAUGUGAGCUAUACAAUGGCCUAUUUCUUCCUAAUGAUAUGAACACUAUCUCAUGAUCGACCAGGUCCCUGCUCUGUUUCUUCUUCUUUUGCAUCCUGUAUGUAUGUGUCUGACGAUAAAGUGGUUUCUUCAGAAUUGAUCGAGUCUGACAAAGUUGUUCUGAACAUUUCUUGAAACAGGGUGAGGCCGGUGAUGUCCGUGCGGUGAUGUCCCUGGGGUGGCGCCACUGUGCCCGGCGCUUGCCCUGGUCGCCGCGGUGGUGCUUCGGCGGCUUCCAGACCCUCUCCUCGAUGUGGUGAUGGUCACACCACAGCCGUGGUGUGGCUGAGCCUCUGCUAGGGUUACAACCUUCCUCUGGUGAGCUCCUCCCUGUUCCUUCUUCUCUGAUGUAGCUCCUGCAUGGCCUUGGCCAUGAUUUGGGUUGGAUGUGGGGCUCUGCUAGUUGCUGCUAGAUGCUGUAACCAAGCAUCAACUCCUACUGGAGCUCUCUGGUGAUAAAUUCAUGCGGUUCUAGGGUCUGUCAGUAGCUGCCCAUGUGUACUUGCUUUAUAUAUGUGCUCCUGUGAUGCUCUAGUGGUAUGGGGUUGCUCUGGAUUUGCUAAGUUGGUUAGGAGCAAUGCUUAAUCUGUUGUUUGCUCCUAUGUGGCCCUGUUGUUUGCUCCUAUGUGGCUCUGUUGGACUCAUGCUCUGCUCCUACACCAGCAGCUUGAUUGGUUCUAUAUACACUAGCAGCAGUAGCUCAUGUACAUGUAAUUGGACUCCUAGGGUGCUGUUCUUGUAAAUUCUUCCAUGUCUUUCUCUUUUUCCUGGUGCUACUACACAUGUUAGAUUGUUAGCUGUACUUGUUUCCAUCUCAAUUUACUUAUCUUCUUGAACAUAUGCCUGAUGCUUGGUGCAUGUAGGAUGUGCUCCGUGUGGAUAUCUAUGCAUUUGUUAAGAUUUUUGUAGCACAUGAUAUGGCCUCAAAGAUUGUUUAUUUUAUUUUCGUCCAUACAUGAGCACAGUUUUUUAUUGUCGUCAAGGGGUGAAUUGAUUUGAUUGUUAAUAUGUGGUUGGAUGUGAUGUUUUGCAGGUUGAAGGCGCUAAGGUGUUGGAGACGUGCGUGUACUUGUUGAGUGUUUUAUCUGUAGAGUGCUAUACUGUGAUUGGUGUAAUAUUAUAUGGUUAUAUUGUGAUUGGUGGAAUGUAAUAAACUUGAUUGGUACAUCGGUGAUUUGGCUGUUAUUUGAAUAUAUUUAAAAUGUGUUCUCUGAUUGGUAUAUCAUUGAGUUACAAGUUGUGAAAAAUUAAAACCUGAUGUUUGGGACCUAGUGCCUAGAAGAAUCUGACAAUGUGCAUCCAGUUGACUACAAUAAUCUGAAAAUUGAAUGUAACAAAAAAAGAAAGAAAACCCGAAAAUAAAAAAUAUAUAGAACGUGAAAAGGCUGCACCUCAGAAAGCAAAAAAAGGCCGAACCAAUGGCCCAAGCCCAUGUAGCUAGUAAAAAACAACAGGCAAAAUACAUUAAAAAGGCCGAAUUGUUUGGCUCGGCCCAUGUAAAACGCCGAAUCGGACCGGGCUGAUUCUUGUGCCACAUCAGCUUGCCACGCUGGAUGCAUACAUGGCCUGAGGAGGUUGCUAGUGACCAAAAAUUUGGUCGAAGAACCAACGAACUUUUACAUAUCACAGAGAAGGUCACUAAUUUCAGUUUACGACCGCCA
rnacentral:lncRNA from 1 species